rnacentral:ncRNA from 1 species
CGAAGUUUCCCUCAGGUUAGCUGGCAUUCUGAGAAAUAAACAGUUUUAUCCGGUAAAGCGAAUGAUUUGAGGCAUUGGGGAUAAAUCAUCCUCAAGCUAUUCUCAAACUUUAAAUGGGUGAGAAGCUUAAAUCGUUUAAUUGGAGUUUUGCAUUGAACGUGAGUGCCAAGUGAGCCAUUUUUGGUAAGCAGAACUAGCGCUGUGGGAUGAACCAAACGUUCGGUUAAUGUCAAUAAAGACUAAUCAAAACUUAACCUUGAAUACCAAUCACGAGAAAAUGCAUACUCCUACUAAUCAUGAGUUG